AGCUGGCUAAGUGACUUGGGCAUAUCAUAUCCUAUGUAGAGUUUAUUCUCUAUACCUUUAUGUAUUUCUACUUGAGGUAAUCGCAUAUAUCCCUGCUCUAUGUGCUUAGACUUUUCAUGAGACCUUGACUCUUGAGCAAGGACUAUAGGCCAUUAUCUUUGUAGAUGCAUCAUGGCAUUCGAUGGUUUGACAUCCAGUUCUGCAACCAUCAUAAGAAUCAGAAUGCAUCCUGCAUAUCUACGGCAUACUCAGCUUCCAUUGGUUGGUUGCUUGGAACCCUUCCAAUAUACCAAACUAAUAUAAUUCAAGAAUACAUAUCGAUGUAGACAUUCUACCAUCAGC
rnacentral:lncRNA from 1 species